AAGUGCAUUGCACAAUGUGCACAUUAUGCAGGCAGUGUAUCUGUGAGGUGGGUCAGUUUCUCACAACAAGAGACACUUUUGUCCGGUCACUUGUUUGACUUUGAUAACUUGGACAUCUAUCGUUGGCUGUGAUCUUCUCCUGCAGUAAAAUGGUGUUGCUGUUGAAGCCGUACAUCAGUGUCCUUCUGCUGCUUCAGUUCAGACAGCAACUAUUGGCUCAAAACAGUGGACCUAAAGGAGAGAAGGGAGAUCGAGGAGUGCAGGGACCACCAGGUUUCCCAGGACUACCUGGGCCACGUGGACACCAAGGAGACAAAGGAGACAGAGGAGAGCCAGGUUAUUUUUAAAAAUAGUUUACAGAACUUUUACAAAUGAUUGUGGAAUAGCAUUUUUUUUAAGGUGCAAUGUAUAA